rnacentral:rRNA from 1 species
CUACGGUGAAUACGUUCCCGGACCUUGUACACACCGCCCGUCAAGCCAUGGAAGCUGGGUGUACCUAAAGUCGGUAACCGCAAGGAGCCGCCUAGGGUAAAACUAGUAACUGGGGGCU